CGCCGACCAGCUAGCCCACACCAACAAAAACAACAACCCAAUAUUAAUAACCCCAAACACACUACCUCCCUAUCAAACAAACCAUUUUACCCCCUUAGUAUGGGCGACAGAAAAGGAACCAUUGGAGCGAUAGAGAAAGUACCGCAAGGGAAAGCUGAAAGAGAAAUGAAACAACUCAGUAAAGCUUAAAAAAGCAGAGAUUUUACCUCGUACCUUUUGCAUCAUGAUUUAGCCAGUACUACCCAAGCAAAGAGGACUUUAGUUUGGGCCCCCGAAACUACGUGAGCUACUCCAAGACAGCCUAUCAAUAGGGCAAACCCGUCUCUGUGGCAAAAGAGUGGGAAGAACUUUGAGUAGAGGUGACAGACCUACCGAACCUAGUUAUAGCUGGUUGCCUGAGAAUUGGAUAGGAGUUCAGCCUCCAGGCUUCUCUCUUCACAACGGUCUUACCCCUACCGAUAUGCCAAGAAGCCUAGAGAGUUAAUCAAAGGGGGUACAGCCCCUUUGAGACAAGAUACAACUUUUCCAGGAGGGUAAAGAUCAUAAUCUCUUAAGGUAACAAUGCCCAGGUGGGCCUAAAAGCAGCCAUCCUAACAGAAAGCGUUAAAGCUCAAGCAUUAUACCUCACCCACAUAUUUUGAUAACCAAAUCCCAACCCCCUAACAUUAUCAGGCCAUCUCAUGCAAACAUGAGAGUGCACAUGCUAAUAUGAGUAAUAAGAGAGCAUCCGCCUCUCUCCUUGCACACGUGUAAAUCGGAACGAACCCCCACCGAAACUUAACGGCCCCAAACAAAGAGGGCAAUGAACCACAAGUAAGCAACCAGAAAAUCACCCAAGAGACAACCGUUGACCCCACACUGGUGUGCACCUAAGGAAAGACCCAAAGAAAAAGAAGGAACUCGGCAAACACAUUAAGCCUCGCCUGUUUACCAAAAACAUCGCCUCUUGCAAAAUCAAAGAAUAAGAGGUCCAGCCUGCCCUGUGACUAUAUGUUUAACGGCCGCGGUAUUUUAACCGUGCGAAGGUAGCGCAAUCACUUGUCUUUUAAAUGGAGACCUGUAUGAAUGGCAUUACGAGGGCUUAACUGUCUCCUUUUUCAAGUCAGUGAAAUUGAUCUCCCCGUGCAGAAGCGGGGAUAAACCCAUAAGACGAGAAGACCCUAUGGAGCUUUAGACACUAAAGCAUGUCAUGUUAAACACCCCUAAAUAAAGGGCCAAACCAAAUGAAUUAUGCCCGUAUGUCUUUGGUUGGGGCGACCGCGGGGAAAUAAAAAACCCCCACGUGGAAUGGGAGUACUACUUCCUACAACUAAGAGCUGCAGCUCUAAUGAACAGAAUUUCUGACCAAUAAGAUCCGGCAAUGCCGAUCAACGGACCGAGUUACCCUAGGGAUAACAGCGCAAUCCCCUUUUAGAGCCCAUAUCGACAAGGGGGUUUACGACCUCGAUGUUGGAUCAGGACAUCCUAAUGGUGCAGCCGCUGUUAAGGGUUCGUUUGUUCAACGAUUAAAGUCCUACGUGAUCUGAGUUCAGACCGGAGUAAUCCAGGUCAGUUUCUAUCUAUGACAUGUUCUUUUCUAGUACGAAAGGACCGAAAAGAAGAGGCCAAUGCUCAAAGCACGCCUCACCCCUCCUAUUGAAAACAACUAAAAUAGGCAAAAGGGCAUACCCCUUCACGCCCAAGAUAAUGGCAU
rnacentral:rRNA from 1 species